CCCUGGGCUCCGCGCCGGAUCUGGAAUGGGGGUGCGGGUGGGAGCAAGCGAGUAAGCGUGUCCUCCUUCCACCUCCCUCUGGGUCGUCCGCACUAGGCUGGGGCGGCAGCGCCGGCGCGAUUCCUUCACGAGCGGGCGCGGACCCGGAGGGUCAGGGCCCGGGGAGGGGGCGCCUGCGGGCUCCUCGCACCGAGCCUCAGCCAAUCAGCGCUCCGGAAGGACGGUUACGUAGAUCUCCCCGCCCCACGUGCCGCUUUUCUCCGAGAAGCCACGCCCAACCGCCGCCUGGCCGCCUUGCUCUGACGGCUUCCACGGGGCCCUAGAAUCCGGUAGUUUCCCGCGGCAAGUGGACGAGGGGUGGGGCCGUGAGGCGGUGGCGAGAAUACCUUCACUGUUCUGAAGGCUGAAAGAUUGCAGAUUGGGCAGCUGCAUCUGACGAAGCCCUGGUGCUGCUUCAGCUCAUGGCCGAAAGCAGAAGGGAUUGCAUGGCCAGAGAGGAGACUAAGAGAAAGCCAAACUUACUGUAACAACUUGCGCUCAAGCUCCAAGUACAGUAACGUUUUCCCGGCCCAUUUGGCCCAGCCAGGAUACUUGACCAGAGACCACAGGAUAGAAGCUGCUUCUUGUUUCAAGUCCUGUCAGAGUCCAGAAUACUGCCUGGCACACAGCAGGCAGUCUAUGAAACAACUUGAGUAAAACAAGCAACGUGGAAGAAAGGAGCUAUGCAAGAACAAGCCCUGCCCUUGGAUACCACCCUGUUUUCGUGUUGUCUGUUGCCUCGGCCAAUGCUUAGCACCAUUCCUGUAUGAAGCUGCACAUUGGGGUAAGUUGAAAGCAUCUCAUUAAAGCAGUGCAGAAGCGACCCUUGGGGCACAGCUGGGGUAAAUCUUAAGCACUUCUUUCAUCAAUGGGAGAAUCCAGCCUCCAUGCCUUCUAGCCAGAGGCUGGGAUGGUUUUGUCUAGGCCAUCAUGACCUCUGGCAUAAAACUCUCCAAGGAAUUUUUGAGACCUAAGGUCACUCAACUCAAAGUAAAUUCUGCUUUCUUUAAGAUUCCAGGGCAUCACAAGUAAACAGAGUUGA
rnacentral:lncRNA from 1 species